rnacentral:rRNA from 1 species
AUUGAACGCUGGCGGCAGGCCUAAUACAUGCAAGUCGAACGAGUGGCGGACGGGUGAGUUAUAUAUUGGAACGUGCCCAGCAUCCGGGGAUAACUACUCGAAAGCUGGCUACUACUGCAUACUACUGUAUCGGCCGAUGUCGGAUUAGCUAGUUGGUGGGGUAAAGGCUCACCAAGGCAACGAUCCAUAGCUGGUCUGAGAGGACGACCAGCCACACGGGGACUGAGACACGGCCCAGACUCCUACGGGAGGCAGCAGUGGGGAAUUUUGGACAAUGGGGGAAACCCUGAUCCAGCCAUCCCGCGUGUAUGAUGAAGGCCUUCGGAUUGUAAAGUACUUUUGGCAGAGAAGCGGUAUCUACAGAAUAAGCACCGGCUAACUACGUGCCAGCCGCCGCGGUAAUUC